GUAUGCAGCCAUACCACCUGCAGUUCAUACUAUGUAAUCCACCUGAAACUAAGCAGGUUUGGGUCUGGCCAGUACUUGGAUGGGUGACUAGUAAAGCUGGGCUGCUGCUGGAA
rnacentral:rRNA from 1 species